rnacentral:rRNA from 1 species
UACGUAGGGUGCGAGCGUUGUCCGGAAUUACUGGGCGUAAAGAGCUCGUAGGUGGUUUGUCGCGUUGUUCGUGAAAACUCACAGCUUAACUGUGGGCGUGCGGGCGAUACGGGCAGACUGGAGUACUGCAGGGGAGACUGGAAUUCCUGGUGUAGCGGUGAAAUGCGCAGAUAUCAGGAGGAACACCGAUGGCGAAGGCAGCUCGCUGGGACGGUACUGACGCUGAGACGCGAAAGCGUGGGGAGCGAACAGG